AUGAUACAUGCAUCUCGUCUUCUCCUUGAUUUGCCAGCUGCAAUGCCUCGCACGACUACUCACCACACUUCAUUCUUGCUACAGGUGAUAACUUUAGGUUUCCUUGUAGAGAUCCAGCUACUAGCACACCGUUCCCAUGCCAUGUCAGCAGACGCCGGUACUGCACCAUGCCGCGGAGAUCAGGCCGCGGCGCUCCUCGCCGUGAAGCGUUCCCUCUCCUUCACCGGCAGCGCCACCUCUGGGCCGGCCACCACGACGCUGCCGUCGUGGAGAGAGGGCACGGAUUGCUGCCGAUGGGAGGGCGUUGGCUGCGACAACGUCACCGGGAUGGUCACCGCACUCAACCUCGCGUCGCGGAACCUCGCUGGGGCCGUCCCUGACUACAUUAGGAACCUCACAGCGCUGGAAGUCGUACUGCUCGGCAGCAACAAACUCACGGGGCCGGUUCCUCUUGAUGCACAUAUGUUCCCAUACCUCGCAGAGGUGGAUCUAAGCAAUAAUUCAUUCUGGGGGACGGUACCAGCAUCCUUCUUCACUCAGCCAACAUUGCAGAGAUUGUGCCUCAACAUGAACAGACUCUCUGGUGCUAUCGAGGAAUUCCAGAAUCCAUCAGCUACACUGACUUACGUUGACUUGAGCAGCAAUCAGUUAACAGGUGCAAUUCCAACUUCAUUUGCGUAUCUCACUGCACUUCAGAUCCUGCAACUUGACCACAACAAUUUCACGGGCACCUUGGAUCUAAACCCAUUCGUGAGGCUAAAGAACCUUACUAUGAUAUCAGCAUCCUAUAAUCCCUUGUUAUCUGCUUCCGGGGAUGGUAGUAAAAUUGAUGCUAGUAACAGCAGUAUUACUAGUUUGAAUCUAGCAUAUUGUAACCUAACAAGGUUGCCUCGAGUCCUUGGAUAUCUACCAGAACUAGGGAAUCUGGAUCUCUCUUGCAAUCAAAUUCAAGGGGAGAUACCUCAGUGGAUUUGGACAAACAUGAGCUCCUUGAACCUGUCGCACAACCUCUUCACUACAGUAGGCCAGCCGCCGCACUAUGUUAAUAUAAUAUACAUCGAUCUUAGCUUCAAUAUGCUCCGUGGCGCCGUGCCUUUCCCUUCCAAUGGGGAUCGUCUUGAUUACUCCAACAACAAAUUCUCGUCCAUCCCCCAGAGUAGUUUCCUCCGCUUCAUCCAAAUAAACCCUCUCCUCGAACGGUCCGGGCUCACGACCUACUCUAUCAACCUUGCGAACAAUGAACUGAGUGGGCCUAUUCCCUACUCAGAAUGUCGUGAGCAGUAUGCUCUCAGAAUGCUAGACCUAUCCGGCAAUAAUCUCAGCGGAUCGGUGCCACCUUAUUUAUUGAAAGGUUGCGGUCAACUCAUUAUGUUGAACUUGAGGGGAAAUCAUCUUGGCGGAACAUGGCCUGACGAGACUAGCGAAUCAUGUCAGUUGCAGCUGAUAGAUUUACAUGGGAAUCAUAUCCAGGGGCGCCUCCCGAGAUCGUUGGCUCGGUGCCAAUAUUUGAUAGCUCUUGACAUUGGUGGGAACCAUUUCGAGGACUCUUUCCCUAUAUGGAUGGGCCAGCUACCGCAACUCCGGCUACUCAUCUUGAGAAACAACAAUUUUCAUGGCCCCGUGAGCAUCCCUCCUCUUGUGGAGAAGAACUCGACUGCCGAUUACUUUUCCCGUGUACGAAUCAUUGACCUUGCAGGAAAUCACUUCAAUGGUGAUCUACCACCAGAUUUCUUCAAGAGUUUCAAGUCCAUGGUUUGGGGUCCGAACAGAACGAUUGCAGAAUAUGAUGAUUAUACUACAGUGUCUGCGAAACAAGGAUUUAUUUCUUAUCUGGUGGCGGUUGAUGUGGCCAUGAAACAACAAUACAUGAGGGUGUCAAAAGUCAGUACUGACCUGGUGGUGAUUGACCUGUCUAGCAACCGGUUCAGUGGCUUCAUCCCGAGGUCAAUCAGCAACCUGACGUCCCUGCAUGUUGUAAACUUGUCUUCCAAUGCCUUUGGCGGCAAGAUCCCACGUGAGCUCGGCCAGUUGGUCCGGAUCGAGUCACUGGACCUGUCGUGGAACCAUCUUGUAGGUGAGAUCCCGCAGGAGCUAGCAACGGUGACCACACUCGCGUGGCUCAACCUCUCCUAUAAUGAUCUCAGUGGGAGGAUACCUUCGGGCAGCCAGUUUUCCACAUUCACCGGCAGCUCGUUCCAGGGCGGAAACAAAGGGUUGUACGGAUGCCCACUUCUUGUGAAAUGUAACCUUACAUUCGUUACUUCACCAUCUUCGUCGCUGCCACCUCCUGCGCGAGAAGGAUCACCAUUUGAGGAUAUCAUGUUAUGGCUUUUUGUUGGUGUAGGCUUCGGAGUCGGAUUUGCGCUGACAAUCGUAUUGCAGGUUGUUUGCAGCGGUCGUCGCGAGAAAAUAGCACGCAUCGCUAGAUGA
rnacentral:rRNA from 1 species